rnacentral:rRNA from 1 species
GUAAUAUAUAGAUAACGUGCCUCUUAGUCUGGGAUAGCCAUUGGAAACGAUGAUUAAUACCGGAUACUCCUUCUAACUCUAAUGUUAGUCGGGAAAGUUUUUCGCUAAGAGAUCGGUCUAUAUCCCAUCAGUUAGUUGGUAAGGUAACGGCUUACCAAGGCAAUGACGGGUAGCGGGUUUGAGAGGAUGAUCCGCCACACUGGUACUGAGACACGGACCAGACUCCUACGGGAGGCAGCAGUGAGGAAUAUUGCACAAUGGGGGAAACCCUGAUGCAGCAACGCCGCGUGGAGGAUGACGCAUUUCGGUGUGUAAACUCCUUUUAUGAGUCAAGAAAAUGACGGUAGCUCAUGAAUAAGCACCGGCUAACUCCGUGCCAGCAGCCGCGGUAAUACGGAGGGUGCAAGCGUUACUCGGAAUCACUGGGCGUAAAGGACGCGUAGGCGGGAUGCCAAGUCUGAUGUGAAAUCCUAUGGCUUAACCAUAGAACUGCAUUGGAAACUGGUAACCUAGAGUAUGGGAGGGGGAGAUGGAAUUAGUGGUGUAGGGGUAAAAUCCGUAGAUAUCACUAGGAAUACCGAAAGCGAAGGCGAUCUCCUGGAACAUAACUGACGCUAAGGCGUGAAAGCGUGGGGAGCAAACGGGAUUAGAUACCCCGGUAGUCCACGCCCUAAACGAUGAACACUAGUCGUCGCUCUGCUUGUCAGGGCGGUGAUGCACUUAACAGAUUAAGUGUUCCGCCUGGGGAGUACGGUCGCAAGAUUAAAACUCAAAGGAAUAGACGGGGACCCGCACAAGUGGUGGAGCAUGUGGUUUAAUUCGAAGAUACGCGAAGAAUCUUACCUAGCCUUGACAUUGAUAGAAUACCCUAGAGAUAGAGUAGUGCCUUUCGGGGAACUUGAAAACAGGUGCUGCACGGCUGUCGUCAGCUCGUGUCGUGAGAUGUUGGGUUAAGUCCCGCAACGAGCGC